UCCAGGUGGCCACCACACCCAUAGUCCCAGCUACUCAGGAGGUUGAGAUGGGAGGAUCACUUGAGCCCAGGAAUUCAGGGUUGUCAUGGGAUAUGCCUAUCAGGUGUCUGCACUAAGUUUGGCAUCAGUAUGGUAACCUCAGUAUGGUAAACUUCCAGGAGUGGGAGGACCACCAGGUUGUCUAAGGAGGGGUGAACCAGCCCAGGUUGAAAAUAGCAGGAGGGGUGAACCAGCCCAGGUUGAAAACUCCCAUGCUGAUCAUUAAUGGGAUCAGUACUGUGAAUAGCCACUGUACUCCACUCUGGGCAACAUAGUGAAAACUUGUCUUAU
rnacentral:SRP_RNA from 1 species